rnacentral:rRNA from 1 species
GAUGAACGCUGGCGGCGUGCCUAAUACAUGCAAGUCGAGCGAACGGACGAGAAGCUUGCUUCUCUGUUGUUAGCGGCGGACGGGGGAGUAACACGUGGAUAACCUACCUAUAAGACUGGGAUUACUUCGGGAACCCGGAGCUAAUACCGGAUAAUAUUUUGAACUGCAUGGUUCAAAAGUGAAAGACGGUCUUGUUUUCACUUAUAGAUGGAUCCGCGCUGCCUUAGCUAGUUGGUAAGGUAACGGCUUACCAAGGCAACGAUGCAUAGCCGACCUGAGAGGGUGAACGGCCACACUGGAACUGAGACACGGUCCAGACUCCUACGGGAGGCAGCAGUAGGGAAUCUUCCGCAAUGGGCGAAAGCCUGACGGAGCAACGCCGCGUGAGUGAUGAAGGUCUUCGGAUCGUAAAACUCUGUUAUUAGGGAAGAACAUAUGUGUAAGUAACUGUGCACAGCUUGACGGUACCUGAUCAGAAAGCCACGGCUAACUACGUG